UGCACCACUUCAUCUACAGAGUAAAAACUGAUUCCUUCUUCAUGACCAACUGUAGACAGUACAUAAUUUGCACUAACUAAUAACGUAUUCCAUUAACCUGGCUUUUUUCAUAGUUACUUUUAGAACUAAAAAAAAAAACAACUUAUUUCCCUUUACUUUUUAAAAGUAAAGAUGGGAAGCUUUUUAUGUAUCGAUUCCAUACGUUUAUUGAGAACGAAGUUUGCUACUGCAGUACACAAAAUAGAAGAAUUAUGCAGUCGAUUGGGGGAGUGAGGGCGGCGGAAAAUUCGUCAUCGGCGUCGAUGCCGGCUCCGGAGUUACAGUGAUCCCACAGAGCAAUCGAGCUGCUUUCGAACUCCAAGAAGAUAGUGCCUCUGCCCAAUCCUUUAGAAUCUCAAAUUUGAUCUGAUUCCCACCUCUAUUCGGAAUACAAUAGGCCAUUGCCCUCUAAUCAAAUCUAUCUCAACUUUCUGCAAAAUAACAGUGAGGACUCUCUUAAAAGAAUCUUGAAUAAGAUUUUUUGGCUAAAGAAUGGAUCCUGUAGUAAAUGAUGUGGAUGAAAAGGUGAAGGCA
rnacentral:lncRNA from 1 species